rnacentral:rRNA from 1 species
UGAAUACGAGACGCUACGGCGUCGAAGCAGUCUAUGUCAUACUUCCAAGAAAAGCUUGCACUGUCAUAAACAAAUAAUGCCUGUACCAUAACCGACACAGGUGGGUAGGUAGAGUAUACUAAGGGGCGCGAGAUAACUCUCUCUAAGGAACUCGGCAAAAUGACUCCGUAACUUCGGGAGAAGGAGUGCCUUAUUUAUAAGGUUGCAAUAACAAGAUCCAAGCAACUGUUUACCAAAAACACAGGUCUCCGCUAAGUCGUAAGACGAUGUAUGGGGGCUGACGCCUGCCCAGUGCCAGAAGGUUAAAGAAGUCGGUUAGCAUUAGCGAAGCUGGUAACUGAAGCCCUGGUGAACGGCGGCCGUAACAAUAACGGUCCUAAGGUAGCGAAAUUCCUUGUCGGGUAAGUUCCGACCCGCACGAAAGGCGUAAUGAUUUGGAUACUGUCUCAGAGAGGGACUCGGUGAAAUAGACUUGUCUGUGAAGAUGCGGACUACCUGCACCAGGACAGAAAGACCCUAUGAAGCUUUACUGUAACUUGAAAUUGAAAUUGGACUUUGUUUGCGCAGUAUAGGUGGGAGGUAUUGAGAAUAUUCUUGCGGGAAUGUUGGAGCCAUCAGUGAGAUACCACUCUUGUAAUGUUAGAUUUCUAACUUUGUAUCAUUAUCUGGUCAAAGGACAGUUUCAGGCGGGCAGUUUGACUGGGGCGGUCGCCUCCUAAACGGUAACGGAGGCGCACAAAGGUUUCCUCUGAACGGGUAGAAAUCGUAUCUAGAAUGUAAAGGCAUAAUGAAGCUUGACUGUGAGACCUACAAGUCGAGCAGGGACGAAAGUCGGUCUUAGUGAUCUGACGGUGCUGAGUGGAAAGGCCGUCACUCAACGGAUAAAAGUUACUCUAAGGAUAACAGGCUGAUCUCCCCCAAGAGUUCACAUCGACGGGGAGGUUUGGCACCUCGAUGUCGGCUCAUCGCAUCCUGGGGCGGUAGUACGUCCCAAGGGUUGGGCUGUUCGCCCAUGAAAGCGGUACGCGAGCUGGGUUCAGAACGUCGUGAGACAGUUCGGUCCAUAUCCGGUGUAGGCGUUAGAAUAUUGAGAGGAGCCUUCUUUAGUACGAGAGGACCGAGAAGGACAUACCUCUGGUGUACCAGUUAUCGUGCCAACGGUAAACUCUGGGUAGCUAUGUAUGGAGAGGAUAACCGCUGAAAGCAUCUAAGUGGGAAGCCCACCUCAAGAUAAGUAUUCUCU